rnacentral:rRNA from 1 species
GAUGAACGCUGGCGGCGUGCCUAAUACAUGCAAGUCGAGCGAAGAGGGAACGGGUGAGUAACACGUGGAGAACCUCCUAUAGGACUGGGAUAACGUCAUGGAACCGGAGCUAAAACGGAUGCUUAGACGGUGAUCCAGGCUGCAUUAGCUAGUGGGUAAGUUAACGGCUUACCAAGGCAACGAUGCAUAGCCGACCGGAGAGGGUGAUCGGCCAGACUGGAACUGAGACACGGUCCAGACUCCUACGGGAGGAAGCAGUCGGGAAUCGUCCGCAAUGGGCGAAAGCCUGAUGGAGCAACGCCGCGUGAGUUAUGAAGGUCUUCGGAUCGUAAAACUCUGUUAGCAGGGAAGCGGUACCUAAACAGAAAGCCCCGGCUAACUACGUGCCAGCAGCCGCGGUAAUUC